GGCCCCAUCGUCUAAUGGUUAGGACACAGCCCUUUCACGGCUGAAAUAGGGGUUCGAAUCCCCUUGGGGUCACCA
rnacentral:tRNA from 1 species